UGGGUUUCCACUCACACGGUAGGCGGCUGUGCAAUUUCGUCUGGAGUCCCCAGACCCCUCCUCAUCCUUCCCAGGGUUGCUCUGAGGCCAUUCCUUGUCAUCUAGGAGGGGUCUACAUAAAAGCAUUUAUAAACACCUCCAAAUGGGAGCCAGGCGUGCCCACCUUUGGAGCACUUUUCUCUACUGCAAAUUUAUCUACUGCUCGUGAAAUCUCUGGAUUUAACUCUGAUGAAAGACUGGAGGCUGAAGGAGAACUUCAAUAUCAUAUAUUUUAAAGGUUGAUUCACAGUUUGGAGCAAGAAUUAAAGAACCACGAACUUCAAGGUAAAACGGGCAACGGCGUUGGGGCAAGCCUCUCUGCAUCUGCGUGUCCAGCCUCUCCUGCGUGCCAGAAGUUCCCAGGCAGGAGUGUGGUGGGACAUCCGGCUGGGGUGAUGUAAAAUUCUCAAACAAUGAGAUAGAUAAAAAGUACGCAGCCAAAAAGUUCAAGAAGAAGUGUUAUGGAGAUGGAGCAGGCCCUUCGUAAAAACACGAUGUUGGUUUUCUGGAUUUUGGAGGCCUCACAAAACCCGGAUCAGACUCGCCCACUGCCCUGUGUCUGCCCUCCCGACCGCCUCUCCUGCCCAGCAGGGAUGAGGGUGGCAGUGGUGCUGUGUGGAGGGUGGCGGGAGGACCUGGAAGACUGCGACCAGUGAGCCGGGAGGCCUUGGGACAGCCUCUCUCUGAAUCAUCCUGUGCACUGCCGGGUGUGACAGAGGCUCCUAGAAUCCUGUCUCAAGUGGCCGCCUUCACAGAGGGAGUCACUGACGUCCCUGCUCAGCGCAGCCCUGGCAUGUGGGGGUCCCUCUACUCAUGAGAAACCCCCACCCAAUCACCGUGAGGUGUGUGACCCAUGCUCACAUCCAGGGGCCACUCAUUCAUUCAGGAAACA
rnacentral:lncRNA from 1 species